rnacentral:rRNA from 1 species
CAGCCGCCGCGGUAAAACGAAGGGGGCUAGCGUUGUUCGGAAUCACUGGGCGUAAAGCGCACGUAGGCGGACACUUAAGUCAGAGGUGAAAUCCCAAGGCUCAACCUUGGAAUUGCCUUUGAUACUGGGUGUCUUGAGGUCGAGAGAGGUGAGUGGAACUGCGAGUGUAGAGGUGAAAUUCGUAGAUAUUCGCAAGAACACCAGUGGCGAAGGCGGCUCACUGGCUCGAUUCUGACGCUGAGGUGCGAAAGCGUGGGGAGCAAACAGGAUUAGAUACCCGUGUAGUCCCUGUCUCUUAUAC